UACGUAGGUGGCAAGCGUUGUCCGGAUUUACUGGGCGUAAAGAGCGCGCAGGCGGCCGAGUAAGUCGAAUGUGAAAGCCCCCGGCUCAACUGGGGAAGGUCAUUCGAUACUGUUCGGCUCGAAGAUAGGAGAGGGAAGCGGAAUUUCAGGUGUAGUGGUGAAAUGCGUAGAUAUCUGAAGGAACACCAGUGGCGAAGGCGGCUUUCUGGCCUAUACUUGACGCUGAGGCGCGAAAGCUAGGGGAGCAAACGGG
rnacentral:rRNA from 1 species